UUGGCUCAGGACGAACGCUGGCGGCGUGCUUAACACAUGCAAGUCGAACGCUGAAGCUCUGCCCUUGUGGUGGGGUGGAUGAGUGGCGAACGGGUGAGUAACACGUGGGUAAUCUGCCCCAUACUCUGGGAUAACCCCUGGAAACGGGGGCUAAUACCGGAUAGGACAUUCUGCCNCAUGGUGGGGUGUGGAAAGUUCCGGCGGUAUGGGAUGGGCCCGCGGCCUAUCAGCUUGUUGGUGGGGUAAUGGCCUACCAAGGCGACGACGGGUAGCCGGCCUGAGAGGGUGACCGGCCACACUGGGACUGAGACACGGCCCAGACUCCUACGGGAGGCAGCAGUGGGGAAUNUUGCGCAAUGGGCGAAANCCUGACGCAGCAACGCCGCGUGGGGGAUGAAGGCCUUCGGGUUGUAAACCUCUUUCACCAUCGACGAAGCCCUUUGGGGUGACGGUAGGUGGGGAAGAAGCACCGGCUAACUACGUGCCAGCAGCCGCGGUAAUACGUAGGGUGCGAGCGUUNUCCGGAUUUAUUGGGCGUAAAGAGCUCGUAGGCGNUUUGUCGCGUCGGCCGUGAAAACCUACAGCUUAACUGUGGGCUUGCGGUCGAUACGGGCAGACUUGAGUUCGGCAGGGGAGAUCUGGAAUUCCUGGUGUAGCGGUGAAAUGCGCAGAUAUCAGGAGGAAUCACCGGUGGCGAAGGCGGGUCUCUGGGCCGAUACUAACGCUAUGAUCAAANGCUGA
rnacentral:rRNA from 1 species